ensembl:lncRNA
CAGACACACACACGCACAGCACAGCUUUAUUUGAUAUCCUUGGACUGAUACAUUUAGAGAGUGCAUCUGGCCAAGGGAGAGAGGGCCAGGUGGCCGUGGCAGAGGGAACAGGAGGUGCAGCACUGACUGCGGGUGCUCUGCAGAUGAUAAACCCAAACCCAGCCCUACAGGUUGCCUCACAGGCUGAAGUAAUAGGGGUUUGUGAAAUAAGGAGCAGUCAAUAAGGAGCAUGGAUGGACGGCGACUAUCUCAUGAAAACACGCAACAUGAGGGUCUGUCAAGGGAGAACCAUUGAGUCAGCUGCAGCCCAUCAACCCCACCAGGGACCUUCACCUAUCGGAGGGUGGCUUGAAGAGGGAGCAAGAGAGCUUGUCAUCUUUGGGUCUGCUCUUGUCUGCUUUCUCAACUGCAUCGAACUGAUCUGUAAGAGAGUGUGUUUGGACAAGGAGUGAGAGAGGGGGAGGGAGAUAUGAUUGUCUUAUGAGUUUACUUUGACAAUGUAAAAAAAGUGCUUUAACUUCCCAUGUCAAUAAAGUUUAUUGAAUUGCAUUGACAGAGGGAGAGAUUGUCA